rnacentral:rRNA from 1 species
UACGAAGGGGGCUAGCGUUGCCCGGAAUCACUGGGCGUAAAGCGCACGUAGGCGGCUCUUUAAGUCAGGGGUGAAAUCCCAAGGCUCAACCUUGGAACUGCCUUUGAUACUGGGGAUCUCGAGUCCGGAAGAGGUGAGUGGAACUGCGAGUGUAGAGGUGAAAUUCGUAGAUAUUCGCAAGAACACCAGUGGCGAAGGCGGCUCACUGGUCCGGUACUGACGCUGAGGCACGAAAGCGUGGGGAGCAAACAGG